AUCACCAAAUCACUUUUCUCUCACACCUUUUCAACCCUACGCCGUUUCCAAUCCCUCCUUGGUCUUCUUCCCCUUAGUCUGCCUCUGCAGACCAACACUUUCACCGGUUACAAAUCUUUUAUUCCUUAUUAAUCUUUUCAGCUUCCUUCUCUCUCCUUACUCCCUAUAUAAGACUGGUAGAUUCACGAAAAAAAUCCUCUCACUUGAACCACCAGAGCUCUUCAUCGCCUCCGGGGAAAACGAGUCGUUACCAAUGUAAGUCACUCCUUAAUAUUUGGUAAGUCACUCAACGCCUUGCUCCUGGUACGUACAAAGCAUCAUCCGUAAAGUUUUCUUUGAAAAGUUUGUUCUUAGGAGUUGUCUGCCUGUGAUCUUUUUCUGUUUGAUCUUUAAUAAUAUUGUGAGAUUGUUAGGAACGAGUAAGAACAAGCAGUUGAAAGAAUUGAGGGUGAUGGAGGAGUUCGAGUUCCAUCAUUGGUGGAGCUUACGGUUGAGGAUUCGGAGUUUAUGGUUGUUGGACGUGUAAAAGGAAGAGAUGAAGCUUUACAGGACAAGAUUCAUCAUCUGGUUUGUCAGGGAACAACUGAAAAUGGGCAAAUUGAGUUCAAGGAGAUGUAAUCUUGACACAAUUUCAAGGUUCGCAUAGCGCAAGAACGACGUUCUAGCAAUCCCUGCGUCAUCUGGUCAUCACUUAAUCUUCUAAUUCUAUGACUCCAAGCUAAUGAUGCCUUUGAUGGUCACUGACUGAACUGAAGAAAAAGAAGAAGUCAGUGCGUGUUUUAACAUUGUACCUAUUCGACUCUGGUGUUUUCAUGAAUAUGUGCCUCGGUUUGGUUUGGUUUUUAUGGGUAUGUUGAAUCAAGCUCAUUGAAUGAAGAAAGCGUCACUGCCGCAGAAGAUUUGGAUGAGCAUGCUAAUGAAGAGGAAAAAGUGGAGUACAAUGUUUGGCUGCAGCAAUGUCACCCCUGUGAGGGAAGUUAAAUAUAUGAUGAGGUAAGUAUACAUUUAGACGAUUUUCUGUAUUAAAGCAUCAGUUAUUUGAUGAUGUUCACUCAUUAUCAAAAACGUUUUAGCAGCUUGAUUUUUGAUACCGGGACGUAUAUUUGCAGCUUCUUAGUAGAUUCUUUAACAUUCUCCAUGCAAACAAUCCAAAGCUCGCUGGAGAUGUGUGUUGAACAGUUAUGAGGCCUCCUUAAGUUUUUUUUGCAGGGGACAAAAAGAAGACAAUGUUUGCCAAUCACGAAAUUAUAAUUUCUUCUCUCUUCUUUCAGUUCUAAUGAUUGGUUGUUAUUUGAGUUGUUGCGAUUUGUAGUAACGAUGUUUAAAGGAAGAUAUUCGGAGAUUAAUUAUGAA